AAAAAAUAUUUAAAAAAUAAAACAUAGAUAUAAAAAUAUAUGUCAAAAAAAUAAAAAAAGCAAAUAAAAAACAAGAAACAAAAGCUAACAUGCGAUUUUCGUUUUCGAUUCUAAAAUCAAAUGUCCUCGACGUGGCCCAUCGUUAUCAUAGACCAGCAUGCCUUGCGAACUUUAAUGGCAAUUUUCAAUUGAACAAGACGCUCUAGAGAGCGUAAACUCGCUGGGGUUGUGCAAAUAAAAACUAAAUUUUGUCACCAUAUUUGCUCAUAAUUUGGUAACCGCUACAGGAAAACAGAACAAUUUACAGAAAAUUACAACAGUUUGCGGAAGUGGGAAGGUUCUUGUAUUUUGACUGUAACAUACUGUAAAAGGUAGCCAUUACCAGUAAGUUACUAUAGUAUCGCUAACAUCAAGUUUUGCGGCCGCUACCUAGGCAGUUUACAGAUAUAGACAAGUAUAAUCAACUCGAAUACAGUUUAAAGUGAGACUUUAUUGAGGAGAAUAGUAGAGAAAGAGCUGACAGUUCAGUUAGCAAUACUUGCAGAUACGCAUCGAAGUAUCAUUAUGCAAUAAAAGAAUCACAGAUUUUUUUACAGUAUAUAUCGCAUAAGAACAAAAUUCUGAAACAAUCACUAGGACUAUUUGAAGUUUAAAUAUUCAGUUUGAGUGUGAAUUAUGAUUAUAUAAUCACGGAAUAAAUCUUGCAUCUGAAGAAACCAAAUUUGGCAAGUUCUUUAAUGCAUGGAAACCAUUUCUGUAAGCUUUUAUAUGUUUAUUUUUUAUGAAGCGUCGACAGUUCAAUUUCAUUGAUUUACCAGUAUUCGGCUCUGUGGAGAUGGCGAUGUUCGUUGUAAAGGUACCAAUAAUGAGGGACAAUCAAUAUACGUUAGCCUUGUCUUCGAAGAAUUAACAGUCGUAUUUCAAGGAACUUGUGAAAUCGCCAAAAAAUCCACUUUAAAUUAAUAGCAAUAUUAAUUGAAUAGCGUACAAAUUCACGAACAAUUCAUAGCGUCCAUUCCGGCCCGUGCUCAGAAUAGUGG